rnacentral:rRNA from 1 species
GCGAGACAGUUCGGUCCCUAUCUGUGGUGGGCGCAGGAUAUUUGAGAGGAUCUAUCCUUAGUACGAGAGGACCGGGAUGGACGAACCUCUAGUGCACCAGUUGUCGUGCCAACGGCAUAGCUGGAUAGCUAAGUUCGGAUGGGAUAAACGCUGAAAGCAUAUAAGCGUGAAACCCACCUCAAGAUAAGAUAUCCCUUCCCCUUCGGGGGACUAAAGACCCGUGGAAGACUACCACGUGAUAGGCUGGGUGUGGAAGCGCAGUAAUGCGUGAAGCUUACCAGUACUAAUCGGUCGUGAGGCUUGACCAU